ACCAGCGUCCAUAGGGCGUUGAACACACCGGAUCUCGUUCUAUCACCCAUGUUAAGCAACGUUGGGCAUGGUUGGUACUUGGAUGGGUGACCAUUCCUCUGAGGAUCCUCCAUGUGAUGCUCCAC
rnacentral:rRNA from 1 species